UUUCCGUAGGUGAACCUGCGGAAGGAUCAUUACCGGGUUUAUCUGGCUCCGCCGGAUGCCUUCACACCUUGCGUAUCAAAACGUUGCUUCGGCGGGACACCUGAGAGGGUCGUCGGCGAAAGCGGGCGAGCGCCCGCCGAACUUAUCCAAACUCGAUUCUACCUGCAGUCUGGUAACUUGAGAAUCUUCAAAACUUUCAACAACGGAUCUCUUGGUUCUGGCAUCGAUGAAGAACGCAGC
rnacentral:misc_RNA from 1 species